rnacentral:rRNA from 1 species
CCAGCGAACUUGGCAGAGAUGCCUUGGUGCCUUCGGGAACGCUGAGACAGGUGCUGCAUGGCUGUCGUCAGCUCGUGUUGUGAAAUGUUGGGUUAAGUCCCGCAACGAGCGCAACCCUUAUCCUUGUUGCCAGCGAUUCGGUCGGGAACUCAAAGGAGACUGCCGGUGAUAAGCCGGAGGAAGGUGGGGAUGACGUCAAGUCAUCAUGGCCCUUACGAGUAGGGCUACACACGUGCUACAAUGGCGCAUACAAAGAGAAGCGACCUCGCGAGAGCAAGCGGACCUCAUAAAGUGCGUCGUAGUCCGGAUCGGAGUCUGCAACUCGACUCCGUGAAGUCGGAAUCGCUAGUAAUCGUGGAUCAGAAUGCCACGGUGAAUACGUUCCCGGGCCUUGUACACACCGCCCGUCACACCAUGGGAGUGGGUUGCAAAAGAAGUAGGUAGCUUAACCUCCGGGAGGGCGCUUACCACUUUGUGAUUCAUGACUGGGGUGAAGUCGUAACAAGGUAAGCGUAGCGAG